AUAAAUGGGGAAUGAGCUGGAAGAACCAGGGGGGCACAGCCUGCAGAGCCCAAGAGACAACAAAAGGCUGGAAAGCUGGAAGUGGCCAGAGCUGGGCAUGGCACCCUGAUGAGCAUCCAGGCAGGGAGUCUGACCUGUGCUGCUGCACACUCAGGCAGAGGGCCCAGUCCUCUGCCUGGUUUUCAUUUAUUUGAGAGGAGGACCCUGAAAUAUGGCCAAGAACAGCUGCAAUAAAAAGCAGUCAAGCGAUGAUAAAAAAAAAUAAAUUGCUAGCCCUUCAUUCCCAGUUGAAUGAUAUGAAACCUUGAGCCCAUCCUGGCAAUUUUUUUUGCAGCAGUCAUCACAUCUCCAUCACUUGGCAUUUCUGCUCAGGGCCAAAGUGGGAAAAAGUCCUCUGGAUCCUGUCCUCAGAUUCAGUCAAGAAGCCUUGGUGAUUCUGGCACACUGCUUUGUGCCUUGAGGAGUGGUUAUUUGAUCCAGCCAGCCCUGGGAAAAGCAGCUGAGACAAUCAAGCUGAAAACAUCACGGGGCACAAAGCCAGCAACGAGCUCUGCUGCCCACUCACCCCAGCCUGGCUCCCAGAAACAUCCAUCCCCACCAAGCACAGCUGAGGGGUGUCCUUGGGUCAGCUCCUCCUGCUGCAGGGGAAGUGCUUCCAGCUCCCUCCUGACUCCUCUCCUCACUCCUGAUGCUGGAGCUGCCACUGGAAUGUUUCCACCCAGAUUGCCUAGCAAGAGCAAAGCAAACUCCCAGGAUCCUCCUCACCUGGUUCCUCUGCCUCAGGAAGAAUCCUGACACUGUUCCAGAAGCAAUAAUGGCACACCCUCUGUAUGGAACAGACAUGUGCAGGAUGUUUGUGAAGAGGUCUCAUUUGGAGGUACAGGAUCAUAAAGUGAUGCUGAAUUAUUUGAUCUUCUUGAUUAGAAGACAGAGGUGGCUGAAGUACAAAGACCCCUUCUGGCAUGCUGGUGGAACACCGGCCUUGGCACGUCAGGAGAAACGUGUGACUUUGGGCAGAGCCCUGCUGGGCAGCCACCCUCAGGCUAGAUGCUGCUCUGGAG